GACGAACGCUGGCGGCGUGCUUAACACAUGCAAGUCGAACGGAAAGGCCCUGCUUUUGUGGGGUGCUCGAGUGGCGAACGGGUGAGUAACACGUGAGUAACCUGCCCUUGACUUUGGGAUAACUUCAGGAAACUGGGGCUAAUACCGGAUAGGAGCUCCUGCUGCAUGGUGGGGGUUGGAAAGUUUCGGCGGUUGGGGAUGGACUCGCGGCUUAUCAGCUUGUUGGUGGGGUAGUGGCUUACCAAGGCUUUGACGGGUAGCCGGCCUGAGAGGGUGACCGGCCACAUUGGGACUGAGAUACGGCCCAGACUCCUACGGGAGGCAGCAGUGGGGAAUAUUGCACAAUGGGCGGAAGCCUGAUGCAGCAACGCCGCGUGCGGGAUGACGGCCUUCGGGUUGUAAACCGCUUUCGCCUGUGACGAGGCGUGAGCGACGGUAAUGGGUAAAGAAGCACCGGCUAACUACGUG
rnacentral:rRNA from 1 species